AGGUGAAUCUACAUGGGGGAAGUAAAAAAGAUUUCACGGAAAGACUUGCUGGAUUAUUCAAAGGAUCUGGUUCCACAUCAACAAACAUCAGUGAAAGGAGAUACAAAAUCAAUUCAACUCAAAGGCCGCUGACUAGGAAUACAAGUGAUUCUCAAUUAAAAAAAAAUGAAUGAACCAAAUGAAUGAGGAAACUACAUUCAAAUAAAAAAAUUCAGCAAAUGCCUGAGAUAUGUCAUUGAAUUCCUGAAACAAAGAACAUAAUAAACGAAUUGUUUGAAA